UCCACUGGAAAUGAUGGGUUUGUAGUGUCAGCACCAAGCCCAGCAAUAAUUUUGGUGACAAUAAUAAAAGAAGGAAGGAAGAAGGAAAGGAAGGGAGGAGGUGGCUCGCCUGGUAGAGUGCACACUUCAUAUACAAGGACCUGGUUUUAGCCUCUGGUCAUCACAUGGGAGCAUCAUGCAGAGGGAAAACUUUACAAGCAGUGAAGCAAUUCUGUGAUGUCUCCCUGCAUCUCUUUCCUUUUCUGCCUUUAAUCCUCUAUCAAAAAAAAAAUUUAUCAGGAGCAGUGGAAGCCCCACUAAAGUACUAGCAGCAAGAGAAAAAAUGAGAAAUAAAGGAGAAUUUCAUUACAACAUUAAUGUAAGUUUAGAUUAUAGAACUUGAUGAUAAGAUGGCAGGAAUAGCUGGAAAGACAGGAGGUCUAUGCAUUUUUUAAAAAUAGUCUCUAUCUUACUUCCAUACUAGCAUAGCUGAGAACAUAAUUGGCCUUUUUUUUUAACUGAGCUACUGCUACUGGAGGUGUAGUGAAAUAAAGAGAUUGUUUAAAAAAAUAAAAUAAAAACCAUGACAUUCUCACGGGUGUGAAGUAGUAUCUCAUUGUUAUCUUUAUGUGCAUUUCUCUGCUAAUUAGUAACUUUGAGCACUUUCUUACAUGCCCGGAUCUCUUCUGUGGUGGAUUCUGUUCAUGUCCUAGUCGCAUUUUACUGAGGUUGUUUGUUUUUUGUUUAGUGAGCUCUUUAUGUACCUUUGGUUAUUAACCUUUUAUCUGAUGUAUGUCAUAUAUAGAUCUUGUUCCAUUCUGCAUUUGGAUUAGUAAUAGGUGUAUGUGUGACUUCAAAAGGGAAAGAAGAUGAUAGAUAUCAUGGGGAAAAAAUGGACAAAUAUAGACAGUUGUAGAAAUAAUAUUUAUAUCUACAGUCUUAGGAGAACUGCUAUACAUGCAAAUUCUUACCUUCUACAUGUAAAUCCUGCUUACAGUGGAGGGAAUGGGGAUACAGAACUCUGGUGGUGGGAACAAUGUGAAGUUGUACCCAUUACUUGUGAUUUUGUAAAUCAACAUUAAAUCACUAAUAAAUUGUACCAUUAUGUAAA